rnacentral:rRNA from 1 species
CACGUAGGGGGCGAGCGUUGUCCGGAUUCAUUGGGCGUAAAGCGCGCGCAGGCGGCUCGGCAAGUCGGGUGUGAAAACUCGGGGCUCAACCCCGGGCGUGCAUCCGAUACUGCCGGGCUUGAGGCAGGUAGGGGAGAUCGGAAUUCCUGGUGUAGCGGUGAAAUGCGCAGAUAUCAGGAGGAACACCGAUGGCGAAGGCAGGUCACUGGGCCGCAACUGACGCUGAGGAGCGAAAGCAUGGGGAGCGAACAGG